rnacentral:rRNA from 1 species
GACAGAGGAUGCAAACGUUGCUCGGAAUUACUGGGCGUAAAGCGCGUGUAGGCGGCUUGGUAAGUCGGACGUGAAAUCCCGGGGCUCAACCCCGGAGGGCGCUCGAUACUGCCGAACUUGGGUCCGUGAAGAGGAGAGCGGAAUUCCCGGUGUAGAGGUGAAAUUCGUAGAUAUCGGGAGGAACACCAGUGGCGAAGGCGGCUCUCUGGGCAGGUACCGACGCUGAGACGCGAAAGCGUGGGAAGCAAACAGGAUUAGAUA